GCAGGCUCAGUGCUGGGGUCUCAGGAGACAGUGCUGUCGGGAAGUCUCCACCAUGGCCUGGGCUCUGCUCCUCCUCACCCUCCUCACUCAAGGCACAGGAUCCUGGGCUCAGGCUGCCCUGACUCAGCCUCCCUCAGUGUCCAAGUCUCUUGGACAGUCGGUCACCAUCUCCUGCGCUGGAACCAGCAGUGGCAUUGCUAGUUAUAGUGACAUCUCCUGGUACCAGCAGCACCCAGGCACAGACCCCAGACUCCUGAUUUACCGUGUCAGUAAUCGACCCUCAGGGGUCUCUGAUCGCUUCUCUGGCUUCAAGUCUGGCAGCACAACCUCCCUGACCAUCUCUGGACUCCAGGCUGAGGACGAGGCUAUUUAUUACUGCUGCUCAUAUAGGAGUGGAAGCACUUUCCACAGUGGUCCAAUUUCAUGAGGAACUGAGACCAAAACCUGCCCUGGGUUCUCAGGCUUCCUUUUUGCUCUGAAGAUGCUUCCUCAC